rnacentral:rRNA from 1 species
UACGUAGGGUGCAAGCGUUGUCCGGAAUUAUUGGGCGUAAAGAGCUCGUAGGCGGCCUGUUGCGUCCGCUGUGAAAUCCCGGGGCUCAACCCCGGGCUUGCAGUGGAUACGGGCUGGCUAGAGGCAGGCAGGGGAGAACGGAAUUCCCGGUGUAGCGGUGAAAUGCGCAGAUAUCGGGAGGAACACCGGUGGCGAAGGCGGUUCUCUGGGCCUGUACUGACGCUGAGGAGCGAAAGCGUGGGGAGCGAACAGG